ensembl:lncRNA
GUCUAUGGCUGGGUGGAGGACUCUCAGUUAGACUGGACAGGCCUCUGGCUGGGUGGAGGACUCUCAGUUAGACUGGACAGGUCUCUGGCUGGUUGGCUGGGUGGAGGACUCUCAGUUAGACUGGACAGGUCUCUGGCUGGGUGGAGGACUCUCAGUUAGACUGGACAGGCAUCUGGCUGGGUGGAGGACUCUCAGUUAGACUGGACAGGCUGGGUGGAGGACUCUCAGUUAGACUGGACAGGCUGGGUGGAGGACUCUCAGUUAGACUGGACAGGUCUCUGGCUGGGUGGAGGACUCUCAGUUAGACUGGACAGGCCUCUGGCUGGGUGGAGGACUCUCAGUUAGACUGGACAGGUCUCUGGCUGGUUGGCUGGGUGGAGGACUCUCAGUUAGACUGGACAGGCCUCUGGCUGGGUGGAGGACUCUCAGUUAGACUGGACAGGCCUCUGGCUGGGUGGAGGACUCUCAGUUAGACUGGAC